rnacentral:rRNA from 1 species
CUAAGAAUCUUGCGCAAUGGGCGAAAGCCUGACGCAGCAAUUCCGCGUGGGGGACGAAGGCCCUCGGGUCGUAAACCCCUUUUGCGAGGGAAGAAGUUCUGACGGUACCUCGCGAAUAAGACACGGCUAACUACGUGCCAGCAGCCGCGGUAAUACGUAGGUGUCGAGCGUUUUCCGGAUUUAUUGGGCGUAAAGAGCCCGCAGGCGGCUUGCCAAGGUCGAGGUGAAAGCUCCCGGCUCAACCGGGAGGGUGCCUCGAAACCUGGCAGGCUUGAGGCAGGGAGAGGGAUGUGGAAUUCCCGGUGUAGUGGUGAAAUGCGUAGAUAUCGGGAGGAACACCAGUGGCGAAGGCGGCAUCCUGGCCCUGUCCUGACGCUCAGGGGCGAAAGCGUGGG